UGUCCCAGAUCACAGGAGGAAAUCAGCAGAUGUGCAAUAGGCCUAUAGAUAGAGUAGAAUUGAUGAGUCCAGAGCACUAAUGACUAGGAAAAGAGGCAGAGGCCCAGAAUGACAAAGGAUCCUGGUUGGACAGCACCAUCCUGGACACUAGAGGAGGAAAGGACUAGGUGAGGAAGGGUAAGGACUGACAUCCUAUUACACGGACAGGUGGGGCUGAGAACCAUCAUAACUGAGGUACUUAGGUUACUAUAAAUGUGCCCAUACUUUCAGACUAAGAGAAGAAGUUGGAAAAUUUCCACAGUCCUUUUAUUCAAGGAGCCUAUGACCCAGUGUUUUUGGACUGUCACGUAAAUAAAACAAUGAUAAAGGCAAACACCGGAUUUUGGGGUAGAUUGAGACCUGAGAGAUCCAGGAAGUUUUCUUCUUAUGCAAGAUGUUGAAAGAAAGUCUGAAAGUAGAAAUUUAUAGUAACCUAAGUACCUCAAUUAUGAUGGUUCUCAGCCCCACCUGUCAGUGUAAUAGGAUGUCAUUCCUUAACUUCUUUAGUAUAGGUGAACUAGUCAAACUCUUUCAAAACCCAAGAAAUGAGGCUAAAGCUUCCGAAAUCAGUGGCACCACAUCUUCCAUAAGAAGAAAACUUUCUGGAUCCCUCAGGGCUCUAUCUACCCCCAAAUCCUGUGCUUGUCUUUAUCAUUGUUUUAUGAUAAAGUCAUAAAACAGUCCCAAACACUUGACAAUCCCAAACACUGGGUCAUAGGCUCCUUCAUAUAAGGAUUGUGGAAUUUUUCAUACUUCUCUUUUCUUCUAUUUUUUUCUUUUUCCUUUUAGAUUUCUGGGUCACCAUUGCUUAACUGAACUUCUAUUCUUAUGCCAAGCACACAGAAAGUACUCGUUGAAUGAAUGAAUCACCAGUUGAGGAUAAUAUAUUUAUGGGAAGUAGUCAGAUUGCAACCACACUUUUGUGUUAAGGUGGGAUCCAAUCACAGAGCUUUUGUUCCUUUACUAUCCCUGAGAUGUACUGAGCUGUCUGUUCUGACUCUCCCAUUUCUGCUAAGUUCAGCCCCUUCCUUUUUUGGACCCAUUUCCUCCUGUUCUCUAUUCCUUUGUGCCCUCUGAAGCUCCUGUUUUCCUACCAAGAACAUUUCAGCUACGUUCCGAUCUUUUGUGAAAAAGACCUUAAACAUUGUUGUUUAAUGAAUGCAGGACCUUUUACCUCUGAGGCUGCUUUAUCUCAGUUCCACUGAUUCCUCUUCUUUCAAUUAGCAUUCAAAUGUUGAUGGUUCUAGAAUUAGACCAUUUAAUUUUACUCUUCUCAUUUUGUAUCUUCUCUCCUGAGGGGAACUGGAGACUAAGUAUAAGGUGAACAUUGAGCAGAAUGAAGAGACAAGGCCAGCACAUUUAAGUUGGAAGCUGAUUGAGGAAAGAUGAUAAUGCCAGGAUAUAGAGUCUAAUUUGGAGGUCAGGGGUCAUGGUGGGUAUGGAUGAAAAGUUCUUAAGAGCAGGAGUUGCAUGAAGUUAUGAUUCUGAAAAAUAAUUGCUUGUGGGUUCUAGAUGGACUAGUGACAGUAGAGCUUGAAUCAAGGAGAACGGGUGAUUUGAGCUGACCCUGGGAAUUGGCAGUGGUAUAGGUGGGAGAGAUGGUUUUAACAUAUUUCCAAGGGAAAAAAAGUACAAGAUGUAGUGACCUGUUAGACAUAGCAGAUAAGAUAAAAGAAGUGAAAGAUUCCUGGAGGUUUUGGCUUGGGUAAUGCACAAAUGGUGAGAACGUAUUAACAAGAUGACAAGUAGAAGAGGACAAGAAUAAUUAGCCAUAAUCUGACAUGGUGGUAUUAUUAAAGUAAUGUCUCUAGGUCUUUCACGUGAUGAGUCUGAGGCAAGAGAGCAUUGACUCAUUCAGAGACACACAAUGCUCACUUCAGUGACAAAGGAAAGGAAAAUGGGAGAGUAGUAGAUGAGAACACAGGAUAGGUUUGUCAGUCUAGGACCUGCUGGUGAUGAGAAAACUGAGGCCUAGAAAGGAUAAGUAAUUUGCCUAAGGGUACAAAUCUAUCAUGUUGUGUGACUGUUUUAUAAUACACUUUCAGAAUUAGGAACAAAAAAAAUCACCAUUUUGAAAUUUAAAGAAUUUGAAGAGAAAACAGAACAAUGGAAAUAUUAAAUGACUUUGUUAACAUAAGGAGAAAAAGGUAACUUCACAAUGACACAGCCCCUCACACAGCACCACACACAGCAUUUAAAGCUACAGUUUUCAAACUGAAAUGGUUAGAAUCAUAAGAAUACCAAAUACUUAAUAGGAUAAUGAGGCUGACCUUCACACAGGCAUUAGUUAGUCCUGAAUUAGAGCUCCAAAUUACAAAAUCAUCAAUCUACAAGUAGUUAUUGAGUCCUAACUAUGUGGAAAGUAUUGUGCUAGCUGCUUUAGAGGAAGCACAAUUAAGUAAAAUUGUUCUCCUGCUCUCCUGGAGCUCAGCUCUACUUGGGAAGAUAAUAUAUUCACAGAAAUAGCUGUGAUACAGGCAAUACAUUCUCAGGGUCAUGGGAGUGGUAGAGGAUGAGGACCAGUGAGCAGUGGCUAUCUCUCCUUUCUGCAUAUCUCUGGACCCAGCUCCGUUAUUAAGAGAGAAUUGAAGGCAACAGAUUAUCAGCCCUGGAAGGAGUCCUCUAACAUCACAAAUACAAAAGCCAGACUCAGAGAGGUUGUUAUUUGAUGAGAAGCACAUGUUAUAAUUCAGGUCUCCUGCUUUUUCUGAUGUAAAUAGUGAAUUUCUCCUAGUCUGGUUUCUUAAGGCAGCUGUGGGGUGGUGGAAAGGGCGUGGGACAGGAAUGGAUUCUCAUUAAUUACAGCUAUGAUACUUAAUCCUGUGCUAACUUAAUUUUCUAAUUGUAAAAAUGAGGAUAAUACUAUGUAGUUUGCAUCUUAUGCCUCAUGGGUUGGUUAGGAGAGUCAUGUGAGACUGCGUGAAAGUACUUUGAAAAUAAUUAAGUGCUAUAAAGACAUAGAGGAUUAUUAAUAGCAUCUGACAUUUAAUAAGUGCUUAUGAUGUGCCAGGCAUUGUGCUGGCAGUUUAUAUUCAUUAGCCUAGUUAACUCUUCUGCAACCCUCUGAGGUAGAUGCUGCUAUCAACAUUUUAUUGAGGAGGAAACUCAGCUUUACAUCAAUUAUUUGCAUAAGAGUAAUUGUCCCAAAGAGAUUUCAGACUUGAGCAACCAUAUUCUACAGUCCCCACAUAAUCAUUUUUCUCGUCAAUUAUUAUGGAAGAUGCCAAAAGGCUGAGUGACCAUUGUCUACAGAUGGACAAGAACAAACCCUGCUCAUUCUCCUAAUGAUGACCAGAUUUAUACUUGGGGUCAGAAUGGGGUUAAAAACCAAGCACCUUGCUGGGGAUGGAGGGGGGCAAAAGUGGGUGGAGAAGAUGAAGGAAAUUAAGGGUCAGAAAGAUUCAGUAACUUGCAGCAAGUAAUAUAGAUACAAAGAAAUGAAUUAGGGUCAGAACCCAUUUUCUCUAACUCCAGAGCUCGAGCACUUAUCCCUACAGCUUACUGUUGAACUGCCACACUUUGGGUAUGUCCCAAGCAAGAAGAGCAAAAGAGAAGUUUGGCUUUGGUGAUCUCAAGUUGUGUGCAUGUGUGUGUUUCUGUGUGAAUGUAUGCUUAUUUUCAUUCUUUUUUCAAUCUCUUGCUCUAGUCCCCCAAUUCUUUGCACCCAUAUACACCUUUUACCUAUCCUACCAGUUUUCUUAAUCUUAAUUAUCUUGUCACCUACCUGAGAAAUUAAUUCAUGAGCACGUGUUAAGAAUUUAAUAAUUUAACUUUCCCUAGACUAUUUGCAUUUUAAAAGGAAAUAAAGAGUGAGACACUGAUAAAAAUGUACCAGUCCUUCAAGAAGGAGUAGGUCAAGAUAUUUUCUGGAAGAAGACAAAAUGAUAAUUCGGGGACCAUAAAUCCCAGUUCUUUUCACAGAACAGGUGAACACAAAAACUCAAACAUUCAGACUACUCUCAGAUACAUAUGGAUUAGAGGAGGAAGGAGAGCCCAGGCUGAUUCUGUUUGAGAUUGCCCAAACACUCAUGUUUGGGUCUCAAAAUGGAAAAUGUUCCUGGCCUUUGAGGAACAAAAACUUUUGUGUGUCACCGAGGCCCAAAGGCAGGGCUGGACUCAGGAGAGGGAGCAAGAUGAAGCAUAGUCUUCCCCCGCAAUGUCACCUCAUGCACCCCGCCAGCCCAGGGUCUUUUGUCUUCACUACAUCCUUACAUGUAUACAUUUUCUGCUAUUGUCCAUGGGCCAUCCCCUAAAGCAAAAAGAAACUUGGAAUAGCAUUAUGUAUAGCAGUGUGGUAGACUGUAACAACAUUGGUGGGCCCCAAGGACCCACACCUCUUGAUAUUCAGCCCUUCAGUAGUUCCUACCCACAUGGAGUUGGAAACUCAGUGGUUUGGAAAAUGAGAUAUUAGAAUUAGCUAGCUCUGGAAGGGGCAGUCUCUCCUGUGUCAGCAAGGCCCUCAAGAUGUCAAAGCAUCAUCAAAUACAAAAUAUAAAAGACAUGAUUAAUACAGGAUUUGGGACUAGAUAGAAGAUGGAGGCCUGAAAAGUGAGGAAAUGAUGGGUAGAGGCUGGAAGACCAGUAAAAUUUCUACUGAAGGCUAGAGAAAAAGGAACCUGUGUUAUAUAUUAGUAGAAAAAUGAAGGAGAUUGUCACCUGUGGGAUCAUCCAUGUGACUCUUGUUAGCCAAUGAGAUUUUAGCAAAAUGAUGGAAGAAGAGUAUAAUUUUAGGUCAAACAUUAAGUGUAAAUUGGAUUUUAGCAACUGCCCGGUAUGGUGUCCUGAUCUCCCAACUGCAUUCAACAGAGCUUCAAGCCUAUAGGCUUAGCCCUGUCUCCCAUCCUGAGGCAGUGCUUAUUGAGGCUGGUGAGGUCUUGAAAUAAAUCUAGACACCUAGACUGGAGGCCUGAAAAUUUAUCUAUGACUGCUAGGGUUUUUUCAUGGCUUACAACUAUCUUUUCCUGCCCAUUUGACCCAAAAACUGUAAUUUCAGAGUGAAUUGUAGGUGUCCUUGCAGCCCAUGUUAGAGUACUCCCCCUGAUAAUUAGCCCUGGCUGUGUUAUCUUACUUCUGCUUAACUUACUUCUUUUUGGUUUGUGACCAGUUACCAUGAGACAGGCAUCCCUCUCCCUAUGCCCAGAGCCCAAUUCUGCACUGUAGUAUAUCUGGCUAGAGCCUGGAUCCCACCUGGCACCUGUCAGCGCUCCACCCCAGGAACUGGAGCUUUGCCUGAACUCAUCCUUCUGGAGGGGAUUCUGCAACAUAUGGGCACGUCACCCAGAACCAUGACUGCCACCUGCCUGGCUCCCAAGGGCUCACCCACUGCUGUGCUCUGUCCUACCACAUUGGACCUAGUGUCCAAGAUUGCCUGAACCAUGCCUGAGCCUGCUCCAUGCUUUUCAGCUGGGCUUUGUCCUUGCCAUUUUGGGAACUAACCUUACAGUUCCAUCUCCUUGGCUUCUGCUCCACUAGUCUGAUGCUUCUAAUAUCUGACAUCUUUCUCAUACCAAACCCCUUCAUACCUCAACCUACUAGAAGUAACAUCAAACCGGAGGCCCAGAAGCCAGUUUCUAGCAUUAUUUCAAACACUAACUAG
rnacentral:lncRNA from 1 species